rnacentral:rRNA from 1 species
UUGAACGCUGGCGGCAGGCCUAACACAUGCAAGUCGAGCGGUAGCACAGAGAGCUUGCUCUCGGGUGACGAGCGGCGGACGGGUGAGUAAUGUCUGGGAAACUGCCUGAUGGAGGGGGAUAACUACUGGAAACGGUAGCUAAUACCGCAUAAUGUCGCAAGACCAAAGUGGGGGACCUUCGGGCCUCAUGCCAUCAGAUGUGCCCAGAUGGGAUUAGCUAGUAGGUGGGGUAACGGCUCACCUAGGCGACGAUCCCUAGCUGGUCUGAGAGGAUGACCAGCCACACUGGAACUGAGACACGGUCCAGACUCCUACGGGAGGCAGCAGUGGGGAAUAUUGCACAAUGGGCGCAAGCCUGAUGCAGCCAUGCCGCGUGUGUGAAGAAGGCCUUCGGGUUGUAAAGCACUUUCAGCGGGGAGGAAGGCGUUAAGGUUAAUAACCUUGGCGAUUGACGUUACCCGCAGAAGAAGCACCGGCUAACUCCGUGCCAGCAGCCGCGGUAAUACGGAGGGUGCAAGCGUUAAUCGGAAUUACUGGGCGUAAAGCGCACGCAGGCGGUCUGUCAAGUCGGAUGUGAAAUCCCCGGGCUCAACCUGGGAACUGCAUUCGAAACUGGCAGGCUAGAGUCUUGUAGAGGGGGGUAGAAUUCCAGGUGUAGCGGUGAAAUGCGUAGAGAUCUGGAGGAAUACCGGUGGCGAAGGCGGCCCCCUGGACAAAGACUGACGCUCAGGUGCGAAAGCGUGGGGAGCAAACAGGAUUAGAUACCCGGGUAGUCCACGCCGUAAACGAUGUCGAUUUGGAGGUUGUGCCCUUGAGGCGUGGCUUCCGGAGCUAACGCGUUAAAUCGACCGCCUGGGGAGUACGGCCGCAAGGUUAAAACUCAAAUGAAUUGACGGGGGCCCGCACAAGCGGUGGAGCAUGUGGUUUAAUUCGAUGCAACGCGAAGAACCUUACCUGGUCUUGACAUCCACAGAACUUUCCAGAGAUGGAUUGGUGCCUUCGGGAACUGUGAGACAGGUGCUGCAUGGCUGUCGUCAGCUCGUGUUGUGAAAUGUUGGGUUAAGUCCCGCAACGAGCGCAACCCUUAUCCUUUGUUGCCAGCGGUUAGGCCGGGAACUCAAAGGAGACUGCCAGUGAUAAACUGGAGGAAGGUGGGGAUGACGUCAAGUCAUCAUGGCCCUUACGACCAGGGCUACACACGUGCUACAAUGGCAUAUACAAAGAGAAGCGACCUCGCGAGAGCAAGCGGACCUCAUAAAGUAUGUCGUAGUCCGGAUUGGAGUCUGCAACUCGACUCCAUGAAGUCGGAAUCGCUAGUAAUCGUAGAUCAGAAUGCUACGGUGAAUACGUUCCCGGGCCUUGUACACACCGCCCGUCACACCAUGGGAGUGGGUUGCAAAAGAAGUAGGUAGCUUAACCUUCGGGAGGGCGCUUACCACUUUGUGAUUCAUGACUGGGGUG